AUUGAACGCUGGCGGCAGGCCUAACACAUGCAAGUCGAGCGAGCGGCGGACGGGUGAGUAAUGUCUGGGAAACUGCCUGAUGGAGGGGGAUAACUACUGGAAACGGUGGCUAAUACCGCAUACCAUCAGAUGUGCCCAGAUGGGAUUAGCUAGUAGGUGGGGUAAUGGCUCAACUAGGCGACGAUCCCUAGCUGGUCUGAGAGGAUGACCAGCCACCUUGGAACUGAGACACGGUCCAGACGCCUACGGGAGGCAGCAGGGGGGAACAUUGGACAAUGGGCGCAAGCCUGAUGCAGCCAGGCCGCGUGUGUGAAGAAGGCCUUCGGGUUGUAAAGCACUUUCAGCGGGGAGGCGUUACCCGCAGAAGAAGCACCGGCUAACUCCGUGCCAGCAGCCGCGGUAAUUC
rnacentral:rRNA from 1 species